GAUGAAGAACGCAGCGAAAUGCGAUAAUUAAUGUGAAUUGCAGAAUUCAGUGAAUCAUCGAAUCUUUGAACGCACAUUGCGCCCGCCAGUAUUCUGGCGGGCAUGCCUGUUCGAGCGUCAUUACAACCCUCAGGCCCCCGGGCCUGGCGUUGGGGAUCGGCGGAAGCCCCCUGCGGGCACAACGCCGUCCCCCAAAUACAGUGGCGGUCCCGCCGCAGCUUCCAUUGCGUAGUAGCUAACACCUCGCAACUGGAGAGCGGCGCGGCCACGCCGUAAAACACCCAACUUCUGAAUGUUGACCUCGAAUCAGGUAGGAAUACCCGCUGAACUUAAGCAUAUCAAUAAGCGGAGGA
rnacentral:misc_RNA from 1 species